UACGUAGGGUGCAAGCGUUAAUCGGAAUUACCGGGCGUAAAGCGUGCGCAGGCGGUUUUGUAAGUCUGACGUGAAAUCCCCGGGCUCAACCUGGGAAUUGCGUUGGAGACUGCAAGGCUAGAAUCUGGCAGAGGGGGGUAGAAUUCCACGUGUAGCAGUGAAAUGCGUAGAGAUGUGGAGGAACACCGAUGGCGAAGGCAGCCCCCUGGGUCAAGAUUGACGCUCAUGCACGAAAGCGUGGGGAGCAAACAGG
rnacentral:rRNA from 1 species